UACGUAGGGGGCGAGCGUUGUCCGAAGUUACUGGGCGUAAAGAGUGCGUAGGCGGGUUACCAAGUCUGCUGUGAAAGCCCGGGGCUCAACCCCGGAGGGUCGGUGGAUACUGGUAGUCUUGAAGAUGCUAGGGGGAGAUGGAAUUACAGGUGUAGCGGUGAAAUGCGUAGAUAUCUGUAGGAACACCAGUGGCGUAGGCGGUCUCCUGGGGCAUUCUUGACGCUGAGGCACGAAAGCUGGGGGAGCGAACGGG
rnacentral:rRNA from 1 species